rnacentral:rRNA from 1 species
GACGAACGCUGGCGGCGUGCUUAACACAUGCAAGUCGAACGGAAAGGCCCUGCUUUUGUGGGGUGCUCGAGUGGCGAACGGGUGAGUAACACGUGAGUAACCUGCCCUUGACUUUGGGAUAACUUCAGGAAACUGGGGCUAAUACCGGAUAGGAGCUCCUGCUGCAUGGUGGGGGUUGGAAAGUUUCGGCGGUUGGGGAUGGACUCGCGGCUUAUCAGCUUGUUGGUGGGGUAGUGGCUUACCAAGGCUUUGACGGGUAGCCGGCCUGAGAGGGUGACCGGCCACAUUGGGACUGAGAUACGGCCCAGACUCCUACGGGAGGCAGCAGUGGGGAAUAUUGUACAAUGGGCGGAAGCCUGAUGCAGCAACGCCGCGUGCGGGAUGACGGCCUUCGGGUUGUAAACCGCUUUCGCCUGUGACGAAGCGUGAGUGACGGUAAUGGGUAAAGAAGCACCGGCUAACUACGUGCCAGCAGCCGCCGUAA